rnacentral:rRNA from 1 species
UGAAAAGCAUGUUGUGCGAGCGUAGUGUAAUGGUUAACACUUUAGCCUUCCAAGCUAACUAUGAGGGUUCGAAUCCCUUCGCUCGUUUUACUUUUUUGGUAUUUGAUGGAUUUCUUGAUAAUGUUAAUCUAAAAGGCGUAAUCAAUCACGAUAGGCUAGCUUUUUGUGCUAGGUCCCUUUAAAGAAAACUUUUAUUUUUUAUAACGAUAAACUUUGCGAAUUGAAACAUCUUAGUAGCAACUCUAGUAAAUUAAUCAAGGUUUUGGUAGUAGCGGCGAGCGAACCCAUUAAUAAGCAUUACAUUUAUUUUAAAACAAUUUCAAAAACCUUAGAAGGUAAGUAGUCCUGUAGUUUUAAUAAAAUGUAUAUCAUAGUAAGUUGAAAUAUGCUAUUUUGACUGAAAAUAGGAGAACCAUCUUCUAAUGCUUAAAAUUAACAUUAAUCGAUAGUGUACAAGUACUGUAAAGGAAAGUCUGAAAUCAAACUACUUUUUAUGUUAGCGUAGUAUAAACUAUUAUAGCGUGCUUUUUGUAUUACGAACUGAAGAGUUAAUAAAAAUAGCCAGCUUAAAUUAUUAAAUGAAAGCGUACGUGAAAGCAAGCCUUAAAAUGCUUAGUUAUUUUUAUUAAACCCGAAAUCAAGUGAUCUAUUGGUAAGCUAGCAUAAGGAAAUUUCUUAUGGCUGAACCCGUAUCUGUUGCAAAAGAUUGGGAAGACUUACUGAUAGGAGUGAAAGGCUAAUCAAACUUGAUCAUAGCUGGUUCUUUGCGAAAUCUAUUUAGGUAGAGUGCUAUAUUUCAUUUUAAGGGGUAGAGCACUGUUAAGGAACGGGGGUUUUUACCUACUAAUUCUUUGCAAACUUCGAAUACUUAAAAAAGUAAUACUAUAGUAAACAAACAAUAGGUGAUAAGAUCUAUUGUUGAGAGGGAAACAGCCCAGAUUUUUCGUUAAGGUCUUUAAAAUAAUUUAAGUGCGAAAAGAGUUUUUAGUUUUUGACAGCUAAUACGUAGGCUUGGAAGCAGCCAUCGUUGAAAGAAAGCGUAGUAGCUCAUUAGUUAAAAUUAAAGAUUCUGAAAAUGUUGGAGACUAAAUUAUUGCCGAAACGUAGACAAGAUUAUUCUUGGGUAGCAAAGCUUUUUGUAAAAUUAGCGCUAAUUGUAAGAUUAGCGUAUUUAAUCAAUUUGAUUAUUUCAGUAUGAGUAACGAAAAACGCUCUGAGAAUGAGCGUCGUCUAAAUCUUUUCGGUUUCCUGAGCGUAUGCUGUUCAUCUUAGGGUUAUCCGGUCUCUAAGUGCUGUGCUGAAAAGUUCGCAUGAAGAGUAGUGGUGCCUAUUGGUAUUUCUAUGAAAAAAAGUAAUCAAGAAAAAAUCCACUUAAACCGUACUUAAGCCGACACAGGUAAAGUAGCAUAGUUAUGCUAAGACGUAGAGAUAUUUAUUUAAAAGGAACUCGGCAAAUUGACCCUGUAACUUCGGAAGAAAGGGGACUUCUUAGUUUAAAUAAGAAAAUGCAACAAAUAGGAAAUAGCAACUGUUUAAUAAAAACACAGGUCUUUGCAAACACGUAAGUGGUAGUAUAAAGGCUGACUCCUGCCCGGUGCUGUUAUUUUAAAGUUUAUAGUUUUUGCUAUGAAUCUAAGAACCAGUAAACGGCGGCAGUAACUCUGACUGUCCUAAGGUAGCGAAAUUCAUUGGUCACUAAUUAUGAUCCCGCAUGAAUGGAGUAAUGACUGUUUCACUGUCUCUUAAAUAAUCUCUGUGAAAUUUAUUUGCUCGUGAAGAAGCGAGUGUUUUCUAAAAAGACGGAAAGACCCCGUGAACUUUUACUGUAUUUUUGCAUUGUUUUGGGUUUUUUAUUGUACAGUUAAGUGGUAGUUGAUUUUUAUAAUUGACUCUUGUGAAAGUCCACUCUUUAAAAAAGUUAAGCUUAUUUAUUUUAAAGAAAGUGUAAAAAGGUCAGUUUAUCUGGGGCGGAUUCCUUUUAAAGAGUAACAAAGGAGUGCAAUGGUAAGCUAUGUUAGAAGAAAACAAAAAGUAU